GACGAACGCUGGCGGCGUGCUUAACACAUGCAAGUCGAACGGAAAGGCCCUGCUUUUGUGGGGUGCUCGAGUGGCGAACGGGUGAGUAACACGUGAGUAACCUGCCCUUGACUUUGGGAUAACUUCAGGAAACUGGGGCUAAUACCGGAUAGGAGCUCCUGCUGCAUGGUGGGGGUUGGAAUGGUUCGGCGGUUGGGGUUGGACUCGCGGCUUAUCAGUUUGUUGGUGGGGUAGUGGCUUACCAAGGCUUUGACGGGUAGCCGGCCUGAGAGGGUGACCGGCCACAUUGGGACUGAGAUACGGCCCAGACUCCUACGGGAGGCAGCAGUGGGGAAUAUUGCACAAUGGGCGGAAGCCUGAUGCAGCAACGCCGCGUGCGGGAUGACGGCCUUCGGGUUGUAAACCGCUUUCGCCUGUGACGAAGCGUGAGUGACGGUAAUGGGUAAAGAAGCACCGGCUAACUACGUG
rnacentral:rRNA from 1 species